ACCACGGCCUCAGAUCAGACGUGGUGACCUGCUGAAUUUAAGCAUAUUACUAAGCAGAGGAAAAUAAACUAACCAGGAUUCCCUCAGUAACAGCCAUUGAAAAGGGAAGAGCCCAGCGCUGAAUCCCCAUUCAGCGGCAGGCGUGGGAAAUGUGGCGUACAGAAGACCGACUCCCCGGCAUCGCUCAGGGGGGUCAAGUCCUUCGGAUCGAGUCUCACCACGCAGAUGGUGUUAGGCCGAUAGCGCCCUCUUGCACACCAGGAUCAGGUCUUCUUGGAGUCAGGUUGCUUGGGAAUGCACCAACGCGUGUGGCAAACUCUGUCUAAGGCUAAAUACGGGUGCGAGACUGGUGGCCAACAAGUACCGUAAGGGAAAGUUGAAAAGAAGUUUGAAGAGAGUUCAAGAGAGCGUAAAAUGGUUGAGCGGUAAACUGGUGGGGUCUGUGCAGUCCGCCCACAGGAUUCAACACGGCAGCCAGGUUGGCCACCUUGAACGGUGGAGGCCCAUGCGGGACUGCGGCCCGGGCACAUCCAGCCCUAGCAGGGUGCAUUUCCUCUGUGGCGGUGCACCACGACCGGCUGGGAAGGCCCCAGGGGGCAGGUGGCUCUCUGCUCCAGCUUUUGCUGUGUCCACAGGGCUGAGGGAGAUAGACUGCCACCGCACCCUUAUCCGGCAACCGUCCUGGCCCCUCUUGGGGGUCGCUAGAGUGGCGAUGGGAGACGGGGCACCCAAUGUGACUGUGGUGGACUGCCCUCAACAGGCCCCGACCACGUUGUGCUACCGGGCAGGGAGGCCCACAAAGGGCACCAGUGGUCUGAGGUAAUGUCGGUUAACCACCCGACCUGUCCGGAAACACUGACCAAAAAGUAUAACACGUGCCCGAGUCAGAAGGCCGAAUGAAACCCUAUGAUGUAAACCCUGUGAUGUAAUGAUGUUGAGGGCCUGUGCUCGCCGAUUGCAGUGGCAUCCUGUCGCAGUGGGCCCUCCACUGACCCGUCUCGCCCGCUCUGUCAGAGAGAUGGUGCAUGAGCGUCUGUGAUAGGAAACCGAAAGAUGGUGACCUCGGCCUGGUGCAGAUCCGUAGCGGUCCUGAUGUGUAAAUCGGUCAUCCGACCUGGGUAUAUGGGCAAAAGACUAAUCGAACGAUACAGUAGCUGGUUCUCUCCGAAGUUUCCCUCAGGAUAGCUGGCGCACAGAAACCCCAGUUUUAUCUAGCAAAGCAAAUGAUUAGAGGUUUUGGGGCCAAAAUUAUCUCAACCUACUCUCAAACUUUAAAUGGUUAUGAAGCCCGGCUCACUGGCGUGGAGCCGGGUAUUGUAUGAAAGUGCUCAGUGUGCAACUUUUGGUAAGCAGAACGGGCGCUGCGGGAUGAACCACACAACCCGGGUCAAGGCGCGUGAUGCAGAUGCUCAUCAGACCCCAGAAACGGUGUUCGUUGAUAUAGACAGCAGGAUGGUGGCCAUGGAAGUCGGAAUCCGCUAAGGAGUGUGUAACAACUCACCUGCCGAAUCAACUAGCCUGAAAAUGGAUGGCGAUGGAGCGUCAGGCCCAUACCCGGCUGGCGCUGAGAGCCGCGGGGGCUAAGUCAGGCGAAUAGGAGGGCUGCUGCGGUACGCACAGAAGCCCGGGGCAAGGGCCCGGGUGGAGCCGCCGCGGUGCAGAUCUUGGUUGUAGUAGCAAAUAUUCAAACGUGAACUUUGAAGGAUGAAGUGGAGAAGAGUUCCAUGUGAACAGAAGUUGAACAUGGGUCAGUCGGUCCUAAGAGAUGGGCGAGUGCCAUUCGGAAGGGAUGGGCUAUGGCCUCCGUUGCCCUCAGCCAAUCGACAGGGAGUCGGGUUCAGAUCUCCGAACCCAGAGUGGCAUAGAUGGGCGCCCUUGCGGCAUCCAGUGCAGUAACACAGAUGAUCCCAGAGAAGCCGGCGCGAGCCGCAGAGAGAGUACUUUUCUUUGUGAAGGGCAGGGCACCCUGGAAUGGGUUUGCCCCAAGAAAGGGGCCCAAGCCUUGGAAAGCGUUGCGGUUCCGAGGGCGUCUGGUUGGCUCUCGCUGGUCCUUGAAAAUCUGGAUGUGAUGUUGUAAAUCUCGCACCAGGCCGUACCCAUAUCCGCAGCAUGUCUCCAAGGCGGACAACCUCUGCAAUGUCAGAAAAAUGUAGCUACGGGAAGUCGGCAAGUUAGAUCCGAACUUCGGGAUAAGGAUUGGCUCUAAGGCUGGGUCGGUCGGGCUGGGGCGAAAAGCAGGGCUGGGUGCGCACCAUGGCUGGAUGAGGCGUCUUUCCCCCCUCUACUCCCCUCUGGAUGCGAGCCGGGCCCUUCCUUGGGAUCACCCCAGCUGCAGUGUUCGCCUCUCUCGUUCCCCCCCCCUCCUGGGGUUCAGGGCCGGCAUUCUGCUUUGGCCGACACCUAGCAUCUGACUUGGAACUGGUGCGGACCAGGGGAAUCUGACUGUUUAAAACAAGCAUAUCGAAGGCCCGUGAAGGGCGUUGACGCAAUGUGAUUUCUGCCAAGUGCUCUGAAUGUCAAAGUUAAGAAAUUCAAUGAAGCGUGGGUAAAUGGCUGGGGGGGCGAGCCCCGUGGGGCUCUCACUUCCCCGUGGCUCAGCGCUCGGCGCUCCGGGCACCACUCGCUCCGGAGACAGUGGCAGGUGGGAGUUUGACUGGGGUGGUACACCUGUCAAAGGAUAACGCAGGUGUCCUAAGGCGAACUCAGGGAGGACAGAAACCUCCCGCGGAGCAGAAGGGCAAAGCUAGCUUGAUCUCGAUUUUCAGUAUGAAUACAGACCGUGAAAGCGGGGCUUCACGAUCCUGCUGACUUUUUGGGUUUCAAGCAGGAGGUGUCAGAAAAGUUACCACAGGGAUAACUGGCUUGUGGGGCCAAGCGUUCAUAGCAACGUCGCUUUUUGAUCCUUCGAUGUCGACUCUUCCUAUCAUUGUGAAACAGAAUUCAAGCAUCGAUUGUUCACCCACUAAUAGGGGAACGUGAGGUGGAUUUAGACCGUCGUGAGACAAGGUUAGUUUUACCCUACUGAUGAUGUGUUGUUGCAAUAGUAAUCCUGCUCAGUACGAGAGGAACCGCAGGUUCAGACAUUUGUGUGUGCAUGCUUGGCUGAGGAGCCAAUGGGGUGAAGCUACCAUCUGUGGGAUUAUGACUGAACGCCUCUAAGUCAAAUCCUCUAAAAUGUCCCCCCUCCCCCCGACUGUGAUACGCAGCGCUGUCGAGCAUCGUUGGCUUAGGAUAGCCGCCUCUGGGGCCGGUGUAUAGAGCCGCUCGCCUCAGGACUUGAGUGUGGACAGAAGGGGGCCACCUCUCUCACCCGUAGUGCACCGCAUGU
rnacentral:rRNA from 1 species